UAUAAAACGAUGAUCAGGAAAAGUAAGUCAUUUACUUUAACAAAAGAGAGCAAUCGGCAGCUGAAAAGAUUGCGUUAAAGAAUGAUGGAAAGACACCUGUGAGUGUUAUUCUGAACUGCUAGUAGGAAUAAACGGAACCUGCCGUUAUCAGGAUUAAGGUGGUCACAAGACAAUCUGGGUGGUACCGCGGUUUUAAACCGUCCCUAUU
rnacentral:ncRNA from 1 species